AGUCAUAUGCUUGUCUCAAAGAUUAAGCCAUGCAUGUCUCAGUACAAGCCAAAUUAAGGUGAAACCGCGAAAGGCUCAUUAAAUCAGUUAUGGUUCCUUAGAUCGUACACACAAUUACUUGGAUAACUGUGGUAAUUCUAGAGCUAAUACAUGCUAACGGAGCCCUGACCGGAGACGGAAAGGGUGCUUUUAUUAGAUCAAAACCAAUCGGUGGCGGGUUCGCUCGUCAUCGUACCAUUUGGUGACUCUGAAUAACUUUUGCUGAUCGCACGGUCUCGUACCGGCGACGCAUCUUUCAAAUGUCUGCCUUAUCAACUGUCGAUGGUAGGUUCUGCGCCUACCAUGGUUGUAACGGGUAACGGGGAAUCAGGGUUCGAUUCCGGAGAGGGAGCCUGAGAAACGGCUACCACAUCUAAGGAAGGCAGCAGGCGCGCAAAUUACCCACUCCCGGCACGGGGAGGUAGUGACGAAAAAUAACGAUACGGGACUCAUCCGAGGCCCCGUAAUCGGAAUGAGAACAAUCUAAACCUUUUAACAAGGAACAAUUGGAGGGCAAGUCUGGUGCCAGCAGCCGCGGUAAUUCCAGCUCCAAUAGCGUAU
rnacentral:rRNA from 1 species